rnacentral:rRNA from 1 species
UACAGAGGAUGCAAGCGUUAUCCGGAAUGAUUGGGCGUAAAGCGUCUGUAGGUGGCUUUUUAAGUCCGCCGUCAAAUCCCAGGGCUCAACUCUGGACAGGCGGUGGAAACUACCAAGCUGGAGUACGGUAGGGGCAGAGGGAAUUUCCGGUGGAGCGGUGAAAUGCGUAGAGAUGUGGAGGAAUACCGAUGGCGAAGGCAGCCCCCUGGGCCAAUACUGACGCUCAUGCACGAAAGCGUGGGGAGCAAACAGG